ACCCAGCCAGCUCAGUAGGUGGAGCGUAAGACUCUUGAUCUUGGGGUCAUGAGUUCAAGCUCCAUGUUGGGCA
rnacentral:tRNA from 1 species